CCUACGGGGCGCAGCAGUGGGGGAUAUUGCACAAUGGGGGAAACCCUGAUGCAGCGACGCCGCGUGGGUGAAGAAGUAUUUCGGUAUGUAAAGCCCUAUCAGCAGGGAAGAAAGAAGACGGUACCUGACUAAGAAGCCCCGGCUAACUACGUGCCAGCAGCCGCGGUAAUACGUAGGGGGCGAGCGUUAUCCGGAUUCACUGGGUGUAAAGGGAGCGUAGACGGCCGUGCAAGCCAGGAGUGAAAGCCCGGGGCCCAACCCCGGGACUGCUCUUGGAACUGUGCGGCUGGAGUGCGGGAGGGGCAGGCGGAAUUCCUGGUGUAGCGGUGAAAUGCGUAGAUAUCAGGAGGAACACCGGCGGCGAAGGCGGCCUGCUGGACCGCGACUGACGUUGAGGCUCGAAAGCGUGGGGAGCGAACAGGAUUAGAUACCCUAGUAGUC
rnacentral:rRNA from 1 species